rnacentral:rRNA from 1 species
GGUAUGUACCGGCUUUACUGAUUCCUCCUUCUUGAAGAACUGUAUGCCAUUUAUUUGGUGCUGCAGGGAAUCAGGACUUGUUACUUUGAAAAAAUUAGAGUGUUUAAAGCAGGCUAACGCUUGAAUACAUUAGCAUGGAAUAAUAAAAUAGGACGUAACGAUCCUAUUUUGUUGGUUUCUAGGAUUGACGUAAUGAUUAAUAGGGAUAGUUGGGGGCAUUAGUAUUCAAUUGUCAGAGGUGAAAUUCUUGGAUUUAUUGAAGACUAACUACUGCGAAAGCAUAUGCCAAGGAUGUUUUCAUUAAUCAAGAACGAAAGUUAGGGGAUCGAAGACGAUCAGAUACCGUCGUAGUCUUAACCAUAAAUUA